ACACAUUGAUGAAAGUAAACAAUGGUGAAGUAGAUAUGGUCUCAAAAUAGUUUCCCCUGGACAUAUGUUGUCUUYUCGUUUCGUAAUUUCACGGGACAUAUUUAUAACUCGUUGAUUUUCUAUCUCCACAGCCUUCUAAAACGUGUAUACAUGAUAUGCAAGGGGUUGUAACAAAACCAAAUUUACAGAUCAUAAAUAGUUCGACUAUGUACAGUCGAACAAUUAGACUAUGAACAMAGUCUUGAAGGACUAUUACUAUAUCUCAUGAAAGCUUUAAAUAGUGUGGAGAGACGGGACUGCUAUUUUGAGUGAUGAUGCGAGCCAGGUCAAGGUCUAACCAUUUGUAGAUGUUAUUACUAAGCUAGUAUUUUCUCAGUUAAAACUAAUACUUGUAUAUCGGUAGCAUUGUGUUUGAUUUAUUCUCAUCCUACAAGUCAGGACUCCACUAAUUAAAUACAGACAAACAAUGAUGUAAUUCUGGUUUAGUCCAAUAAAAUCUAUCGAUUA